rnacentral:rRNA from 1 species
CCUACGGGUGGCAGCAGUAGGGAAUUUUGCACAAUGGGCGCAAGCCUGAUGCAGCGACGCCGCGUGCGGGAUGGAGGCCUUCGGGUUGUACACCGCUUUUGUUCAAGGACAAGGCACGGUAUUUGGCCGGUUUGAGUGUAUUGUUCGACUCAGCACAGGCUAACUACGUGCCAGCAGCCGCGGUAAGACGUAGGGGGCAAGCGUUAUCCGGUUUUUUGGGGCGUAAAGGGCUCGUAGGCCGUUCGUCGCGUCCGGGGUGAAAGUCCAACGCUUAACGGUGGAACCGCGCCGGGUACGGGCGGGCUUGAGUGCGGUAGGGGAGACUGGAAUUCCAGGUGGAACGGUGGAAUGUGUAGAUAUGGGGAAGAACACCAAUGGCGAAGGCAGGUCUCUGGGCCGUUACUGACGCUGAGGAGCGAAAGCGUGGGGAGCGAACAGGAUUAGAUACCCUAGUAGUC